rnacentral:rRNA from 1 species
GCUUGUCUCAAAGAUUAAGCCAUGCACGUCUGAGAAUAAAGAGUUUUCUCUGAAUCUGCGAAUGGCUCAUUAUAUCAGUUAUAGUUUAUUUGAUAGUCCUUUACUACUUGGAUAACCGUAGUAAUUCUAGAGCUAAUACAUGCAUCAACUCCCAACUGCUUGUCGGACGGGAUGUAUUUAUUAGAUUGAAACCAAUGCGGGGUAACCCGGUGUUUGGUGAUUCAUAAUAACUUUCGGAUCGCAUUUGCGAUGCAUCAUUCAAGUUUCUGCCCUAUCAGCUUUGGAUGGUAGGGUAUUGGCCUACCAUGGCAUUAACGGGUAACGGAGGAUUUGGGUUCGAUU